rnacentral:rRNA from 1 species
CAUCCUCCAAGGCUAAAUACUCCUGACUGACCGAUAGUGAACCAGUACCGUGAGGGAAAGGCGAAAAGAACCCCGGCGAGGGGAGUGAAAAAGAACCUGAAACCGUGUACGUACAAGCAGUGGGAGCACCCUUUGGGGUGUGACUGCGUACCUUUUGUAUAAUGGGUCAGCGACUUAUAUUCUGUAGCAAGGUUAACCGUAUAGGGGAGCCGUAGGGAAACCGAGUCUUAAUUGGGCGUUAAGUUGCAGGGUAUAGACCCGAAACCCGGUGAUCUAGCCAUGGGCAGGUUGAAGGUUGGGUAACACUAACUGGAGGACCGAACCGACUAAUGUUGAAAAAUUAGCGGAUGACCUGUGGCUGGGGGUGAAAGGCCAAUCAAACCGGGAGAUAGCUGGUUCUCCCCGAAAGCUAUUUAGGUAGCGCCUCGUGAAUUCAUCUCCGGGGGUAGAGCACUGUUUCGGCUAGGGGGCCAUCCCGGCUUACCAACCCGAUGCAAACUGCGAAUACCGGAGAAUGUUAUCACGGGAGACACACGGCGGGUGCUAACGUCCGUCGUGAAGAGGGAAACAACCCAGACCGCCAGCUAAGGUCCCAAAGUCAUGGUUAAGUGGGAAACGAUGUGGGAAGGCCCAGACAGCCAGGAUGUUGGCUUAGAAGCAGCCAUCAUUUAAAGAAAGCGUAAUAGCUCACUGGUCGAGUCGGCCUGCGCGGAAGAUGUAACGGGGCUAAACCAUGCACCGAAGCUGCGGCAGCGAACGUAUCACUUAAAGCGAUUCAGCGGGUUACGAUUGACGGAGCGAAGCGACGUCAAAGCGUAUACAAAGUCGAGUCGGUUUAAGGAUACGUUCGUUGGGUAGGGGAGCGUUCUGUAAGCCUGUGAAGGUGGCCUGUGAGGGUUGCUGGAGGUAUCAGAAGUGCGAAUGCUGACAUAAGUAACGAUAAAGCGGGUGAAAAGCCCGCUCGCCGGAAGACCAAGGGUUCCUGUCCAACGUUAAUCGGGGCAGGGUGAGUCGACCCCUAAGGCGAGGCCGAAAGGCGUAGUCGAUGGGAAAC